CCCCGGGGCCCGGCCACCGGAACGGCCUGGAGUGAAGGCUGCGGCGGGGGGCGGGCGGGGGAGAGGCUGCGGCCGGCGCCCUCUCCCGCUCCCCGGCGUGAGUCACUGUGCAAAGGGCACAUGGACAUGUCAAGAGCUUUUUACACUUAGAAAUCACAAUUUAAAAAAAUCAACCGAGACCCCAACCCACCGUUAAAGCUACGUCAAUUAAAAGUUGCCGAAGAAGUGGCCCGUCUCGCUUGCUUGUUUCCUGGCGCUGGAGGAGGGUAUGGUGUGGGAAUGUUACAACCCUCUCAAAGUUUUUUUAGAAACACGUUUUGCAGUCGUUGUUUAGGAAACACCACUCUAGUGUUGAAUUUAAACAGAUCCGGAUACAAUAUUCUUUUUUUUUUUUUAAAAAAAAGCACUGCAUUCCAGCGAGACCAGAGUGACUGUGUAUUUCUCCUUUUGAAAAAUGGGUUUCCCACCCCGCUUUCCAAAUUUAAUCUCCUUUGCUAGUCCACCCGUCCGUUUGUAUAGUUCCCGUAUCUGUACAUUCGCACGGUUCGCCGAAAAGAAUUAGGAUUCAAUUUAUUUUUUGGUAAUUAAUUUCAGUUCAAAAUCAAAUAAAGAAGCAUCUUUGGUAACAAGCGAAACUGUAGUUCGAAAGCCAAAAAGAGGGCGGUGGGGAAAAAUAGAAAAAUAAAAUACCUGUAAUUACAACUGAAUCUAAUGAUUUGUACAACUGGGGAAUUGGUCUAGAUUAGCUAACAAUUAAAUAUAACUCCACCAAUGUAUCGGUGUGAGGUGCAGUUGUCCAGGAGACGAUUUUGUAUAGUAUUUUUCUUGUACAUUACUUCUAGUAAAUAUUUGAAAAUAUAUUGAAGUACACUUGAGCUUUUUUUCUUUUGUCACGAGAAAAUAUUAAGCGUUAUUGUUGCAGUCCUAGUUAACUGCCUUUUUUUCCUGGACUUGUUUCUUGAAGUGUACUUUCAGAUGGCACUUCAGGAUAUAGUUUUUGCUUGAAUAUUAAUUUAGAUAGGCAUAAAUCUGUAAGCAAACAAUAUUUGAUAAAUGUUGAAUGACAUUUAAUUUAAUGGAGCAUGUACUUAUUUGCAUUUGCUGGCAGUUCAGGUAUAGUUAAAGUGAGAGUUCUCCUAUAUUUCAUAAAGUGGGUUUGCCAAAACCCAUGUAUUAAAUAAACUGUCCAAGUGAAACUGAACUAACGUUGGCCUAUGUGUAUUUCCUGAAAAUAAUAUUGAUAAAUGUUAAUAAACACUCCUGACACUACAUUAGGGGUUUGCAAAUGCUGCAAACUAUUUGUCUCAUUGUAAUGUUGAAAUAAUUUGGAUAUUUCACAUUGAAAUGGAAAGCCUUUCGCUGGAACAUUUUAGAUUUGCAUUUUAAAUGCAUGAAAUAUGUAAUUGAUUUUUAUCUGUAAUAUUUUAAAUGGUAUUAAUAAACUCCAGAUAAAACAUU